rnacentral:rRNA from 1 species
AGAGUUUGAUUAUGGCUCAGGAUGAACGCUAGCGAUAGGCCUAACACAUGCAAGUCGAGGGGCAGCACAUGAAGUAGCAAUACGGAUGGUGGCGACCGGCGCACGGGUGAGUAACGCGUAUGCAACCUGCCUACAACAGGGGAAUAACCCGUUGAAAGACGGACUAAUACCCCAUAACACAGGGAUCCCGCAUGGGAAUAUUUGUUAAAGAUUUAUCGGUUGUAGAUGGGCAUGCGUUCCAUUAGCUUGUUGGUGAGGUAACGGCUCACCAAGGCAACGAUGGAUAGGGGAACUGAGAGGUUUAUCCCCCACACUGGUACUGAGACACGGACCAGACUCCUACGGGAGGCAGCAGUGAGGAAUAUUGGUCAAUGGACGCAAGUCUGAACCAGCCACGUCGCGUGAAGGAAGACGGCCCUACGGGUUGUAAACUUCCUUUGUAAGGGAAUAAAGUGUAGUACGUGUACUAUUUUGCAUGUACCUUACGAAUAAGGAUCGGCUAACUCCGUGCCAGCAGCCGCGGUAAUACGGAGGAUCCGAGCGUUAUCCGGAUUUAUUGGGUUUAAAGGGUGCGCAGGCGGGAGAUUAAGUCGGCGGUGAAAUUUUGCAGCUCAACUGUAAAAGUGCCUUCGAAACUGGUUUCCUUGAGUGUGGAUGAAGUGGGCGGAAUUUGUGGUGUAGCGGUGAAAUGCAUAGAUAUCACGAGGAACUCCGAUUGCGCAGGCAGCUUACUAAACCAUAACUGACGCUCAGGCACGAAGGCGUGGGGAUCAAACAGGAUUAGAUACCCUGGUAGUC